UACGAAGGGGGCUAGCGUUGUUCGGAAUCACUGGGCGUAAAGCGCACGUAGGCGACUUUCAAGUCAGGGGUGAAAUCCCGGGGCUCAACCUCGGAAUUGCCUUUGAUACUGUAGGUCUCGAGUCCGGAAGAGGUGGGUGGAAUUCCUAGUGUAGAGGUGAAAUUCGUAGAUAUUAGGAAGAACACCGGUGGCGAAGGCGGCCACUGGUCCGGUACUGACGC
rnacentral:rRNA from 1 species